CUGUUUCAUAAUGCCACCAUGUUCAGGUCACUGUUUCAUAAUGCCACCAUGUUCAGGUCACUGUUUCAUAAUGCCACUAUGUUCAGGUCGCUGUUUCAUAAUGCCACCAUGUUCAGGUCACUGUUUCAUAAUGACACCAUGUUCAGGUCGCUGUUUCAUAAUGCCACCAUGUUCAGGUCACUGUUUCAUAAUGCCACCAUGUUCAGGUCACUGUUUCAUAAUGCCACUAUGUUCAGGUCGCUGUUUCAUAAUGCCACCAUGUUCAGGUCACUGUUUCAUAAUGACACCAUGUUCAGGUCGCUGUUUCAUAAUGCCACUAUGUUCAGGUCGCUGUUUCAUAAUGCCACCAUGUUCAGGUCACUGUUUCAUAAUGACACCAUGUUCAGGUCGCUGUUUCAUAAUGCCACCAUGUUCAGGUCACUGUUUCAUAAUGACACCAUGUUCAGGUCGCUGUUUCAUAAUGCCACCAUGUUCAGGUCACUGUUUCAUAAUGCCACCAUGUUCAGGUCACUGUUUCAUAAUGACACCAUGUUCAGGUCGCUGUUUCAUAAUGCCACCAUGUUCAGUUCGCUGUUUCAUAAUGCCACCAUGUUCAGGUCGCAGGUUCAGACUUUUGUUUAAUAAUAACACGACCGUGUUCAGCCUUCUCUUUCACUACCGCCCAUCCCAGAGAUAAGUUGAGCACUGGGAAUAAAAAUGGCCCCUGAGUCAUUCUCACAUUUUCACCCCCCAUUUCUGCCCAGAAAGAAAGUCACAGACCGGCCUUCUCAUACAGCUCGCGGCCCGGCCCCAGGCACGGAAGGAAAUAUCGCUGACUUUCUGGACUUUUCUUUUUCCGAUGGGCGAGUCCGACUCUCCUGCAAAUGACAGGUGCUGUCAAAUUCCACACAUAUCAUGGGUGGUGCUUAAAACGCAGAGCAGCCGCCAGCACGCCAUCUUAACGAGCUGCGAGCAUAAAAGCCUGUGAAAACAAACACCUGAGCAAAGCCUUUGAGCUGAGCCGGCGGGAUGAAUAACGACCAAAGCAUGCUGUCCCUGGAGUCAGAGAUUCUGGUCCUAGGCUGUCGGGCAUAGCCUCGGGGUCCUCCAGAGGAUUGGCAAUGUAAGAUGUGCACAAAGCAUAGGGCCUAUUCAAUGGCAGGAUGGGUGGGUGGAUUUUUGUUCCACGGACCAGAGGGUUUACUAUGAGCCACCCUGCCUGUCGAAGUCUUUGUCUGAAACAUAAAAGUGAAGCAGGGGCAUUUGGCUUCAGCCCCAACCUGGGCUUGUUCUUUGAAGACUCUGGCACACACGUGCUCCUUCACCUUUGUACUCACUCCCAUGGACGGGCAGAGCACACAUACUUAAACCACAGGGCAGCAGUGCAUUAGUGUGUCAGGGAGCAUGCGGCACUCUCGUCAUAGGCUCCUGCUUUCACUCUGUUGCCGUCGGCUGUAAUGUCCUGCCACGCGCACAUAAAUCUGUGUUAAUUGCAUGUCUUGCUCAUUGCCUGUCUUCCGGCCUUGAAGCAAAAGAUAUAGCCAAUAGCAAAUGUGCUCCACAUGGGACCCUUAUACAAGAAUUGCUUCUGAAAAGAUAUUUUGC